CCUACGGGAGGCAGCAGUAGGGAAUCUUGCGCAAUGGGCGAAAGCCUGACGCAGCCAUGCCGCGUGAAUGAUGAAGGUCUUAGGAUUGUAAAAUUCUUUCACCGGGGAAGAUAAUGACGGUACCCGGAGAAGAAGCCCCGGCUAACUUCGUGCCAGCAGCCGCGGUAAUACGAAGGGGGCUAGCGUUGCUCGGAAUUACUGGGCGUAAAGGGCGCGUAGGCGGAUAGUUUAGUCAGAGGUGAAAGCCCAGGGCUCAACCUUGGAAUUGCCUUUGAUACUGGCUAUCUUGAGUUCGGGAGAGGUGAGUGGAAUGCCGAGUGUAGAGGUGAAAUUCGUAGAUAUUCGGCGGAACACCAGUGGCGAAGGCGACUCACUGGCCCGAUACUGACGCUGAGGCGCGAAAGCGUGGGGAGCAAACAGGAUUAGAUACCCUGGUAGUCCACGCUGUAAACGAUGAGUGCUAGUUGUCGGCAUGCAUGCAUGUCGGUGACGCAGCUACGACAUUAAGUACACUCCGCCGUCGGGGUAGGUACGGUACGGCGAAGAAGUUAAAACGUUAAAACGGUAAAGUUAGUACGGCGUGAGACGUGCCGACGGACGACCGACGAGGGAGGUUAGG
rnacentral:rRNA from 1 species